ACAUGCCUACAACAUUGUUUUAAUGCAUCGAAUCCCACUAGAACUUCAUAGCUAAGCACGCUUAGAAUAGAGUAGUAUUGGGAUGGGUGACCUCUCCUAAAGUCCUAAUGUUUUACAUGCC
rnacentral:rRNA from 1 species